rnacentral:rRNA from 1 species
AUUGAACGCUGGCGGCAGGCUUAACACAUGCAAGUCGAGCGGGGUGAUGGUGCUUGCACUAUCACUUAGCGGCGGACGGGUGAGUAAUGCUUAGGAAUCUGCCUAUUAGUGGGGGACAACAUCUCGAAAGGGAUGCUAAUACCGCAUACGUCCUACGGGAGAAAGCAGGGGAUCUUUAUGACCUUGCGCUAAUAGAUGAGCCUAAGUCGGAUUAGCUAGUUGGUGGGGUAAAGGCCUACCAAGGCGACGAUCUGUAGCGGGUCUGAGAGGAUGAUCCGCCACACUGGGACUGGGACACGGCCCAGACUCCUACGGGAGGCAGCAGUGGGGAAUAUUGGACAAUGGGGGGAACCCUGAUCUAGCCAUGCCGCGUGUGUGAAGAAGGCCUUAUGGUUGUAAAGCACUUUAAGCGAGGAGGAGGCUCUUUUGGUUAAUACCCAGAAUGAGUGGACGUUACUCGCAGAAUAAGCACCGGCUAACUCUGUGCCAGCCGCCGCAGUAA